ACUGCGUGGUGUACAUCCUGAGGUUCAGCUGCUGGGCUGUGUCUCCAGGUGGGCCAACUAUAGGCUGUCUGGAAUUGCAACUUCUGUUUAUUUGCGACUGAUGUGCACUUUUAGCGCCAUCCAAGCCACUGCAGGAAAGUGCGAAUUCUGAAAACUGGAGCCUCAACAUUAUUUUGAAAUGCAGGAUGUGGAGGUUUGAUCAGAUAGUAACAAUGAAGACUCGAAGACGUCUCCAGCAAAACCUCUCCGCAGGAAUCGUGUCGUCACGACAAUCAUAAGCUCUGACAUAAACUAGCAAGGGGAAGAGCUGCCCUAGAGAACACAGGUUAGAUUCUCGGUGUCCAGCGCCGGGCCUGUCUCAAGAGAUGGACUCAAGUGUCUUUGAUGCCGGUGUUUUGAUCCAGAUACCCAUACCCAAGGUGGAGCCGCAUGCAUUCCUGGAUGCAAAAGAUAUGUAUCAGGGUUUGCUGGGCACCCCGCUCAGACUCGGGGUUCCGGUGAGCAGUGUGCAUGCCUUCAGCACCUCGUCUGGGAGCGCCACCUUGUACCCGGCCUUGUCCUGAGCACCUGGGAUGUCACAGCAGACAAGACCAAGUGUCUGUCCCAUGGAGCUCACACGCUCAUGGCAAAAUUGUUCCACCGCGGGAGGCCUGUUGUGAGUGCUGUAUAUGCCUUAACCUCCUUCAUCCUCACGUCAACCUUCUAAGGGAGGUAGUAUUACUAAUCAGAGAGGUUAGGUGGCUCAUCCAAGGUCACACAGUAGGACCUGGAGUUUGAAGCAUGUGCUAAUCCUACUGUCUUUCUCAGGGGCAGCAAUGAAGGUGGUGUCAGGCUUGGGAACGGUGUCCGGUGUUUAAGGCACCUUUCGGGAGGCCCCGGUGCCCUGAGCUGGGGGUCUUGGGCAGCAAGGGCAGGGCGCUGCGUGCCGGGGCAUGAGCGUAGCACGUUCCCAGUAGGCAGUCUCACCCCUGCGAUUCCCUUUCGUCCCAGGAAAGCUGGCAUUAUUCAUGGGAGAUAAAAAUCAGCGUUCAACGCAUUCCAAAUUGCAACCGGUUGAAUCCCGGGACAGCUGCCACGGGCUCUGCGGGUUGGGCGAGUUUAUGGCUCAGUCAGAAGGGGUGGAGGCUGGGACAGACUGAGCGUGGUAAGGACACUCCAGGUGAACGUGUUGUAACGGCGAACAAGUCGUGUUUUUUCUGGGAAUGGAGUCCGCCGGCCCCACGACCUCUCUGGCGAGCUCGCAGUUUUCGUGUCAGGCACCGGUGGGGAGCUCUGUGGUUUCGUGACACCAAAGUUUGUGUUGGCAGCUGUGAAAUACGCACAGAUGUUUCAGGUGGAACCAGCGUUUCUUUUCUCCUUCCCCCAGGUAGAUAAAUCAACAGGUUUCGAGAGGGAUUCCUAACCCUGUCCUCCUCCUUCAUCCCCUGCUCUGCUCCAGCCUGGGAAUUCCCACUGGCUCUACGAGCAUCGACAUAAAAUUAGAGGAAGAUUCACAUUAAUUAAUUUUAAAUUUAAAAUAGAUGUGUUCUCUGAAGACUCAGAGUCUGAAAAAUCUGUCCUUAGGCCACUAUCAGAAAUGUGGGCACAGAUGCGUGGGCAAAUACAACCAGGGAGCAGCAUGUGAUGGAGCAAAGCUAGAAACAACCUAAAUGCCCAGCAAUGGGGGAUGGUUCAAUUAUGGCAAAACCACAGGAAGGCAUGGCCUGUUGUGUAACCACAGAAGUAAUUGUUUUCCAGGAGGACAAAACGACAGGGGAAAAUUCUCAUGGCUUGAAAUUAAAUGAUUAAAAACUGCACUCUAAACUGUAAGUAAUGAAAGUUUAUAUAAUUACAUCUCAAAUGUGGUGUGUGUGGUGUGUUAGAGAAUAGAAGAAAAUAUGCUGAAAUAUUAACGGUAAUUAUCUCUGGGUAGUGGAAUUUUUAUUUUCUUUUUUAUAUCUUUAUUUUCCAAAUUUCUACUUUAAUAACUUUAACUUCGGAUAAUAAUCAGGAACAAAAAUGUUAUUUUAAAAGAAUGCGUAUUUCUUUGAGUGGCUGGAAUCUGCGUGUUUUUUCCUUUCUCUCUUUAUUGCUCCUAAUUUCCAACAUGGACAUACUCCUCUUAUAAAGGAGUAUGGAUGGAUUAAUUUAUUUUUUCCGGGGGAAGAAGCAAAUGUAUAUUCCAUAAUGCACAGGGGAGGGGGGUAUUUGAUGUCAUAGAAUAAAGUAACAUUAAAGCAAUACAACUUCAGAGGAGGAAGAAAUUAGCAGCUGAAAAUGGCAGGCACCCAUGAGACUGAUUCUGGCACCAUCCGCAGAUUCAUAAUCCCAAACUCCCGAAAGAUAUUAAAACACAAAACACAUAAAACAAAAUGCCAGGGCUUGCCUGGUGGUGCAGUGGUUAAGAAUCCAUCUGCCAAUGCAGGGGACACGGGUUCAAGUCCUGGUCCGGGAAGAUCCCACAUGCCGCAGAGCAACUAAGCCCGUGCGCCACAACUACUGAGCCUGAGCUCUAGGGCCUGCGAGCCACAACUACUGAAGCCCGCGGGCCUAGAGCCCGUGCUCCGCAACAAGAGAAGCCACCGCAAUGAGAAGCCCGCGCACUGCAACGAAGAGUAGCCCCCGCUCACCACAGCUAGAGAAAGCCCGCGCGCAGCAACGAAGACCCA